rnacentral:rRNA from 1 species
UACGUAGGGUGCAAGCGUUGUCCGGAUUUAUUGGGCGUAAAGAGCGUGUAGGCGGCCAUACAGGUCAGCUGUGAAAACUCGAGGCUCAACCUCGAGACGUCGGUUGAAACCGUAUGGCUAGAGUCCGGAAGAGGAGAGUGGAAUCCCGGUGUAGCGGUGAAAUGCGCAGAUAUCGGGAAGAACACCCGUGGCGAAGGCGGCUCUCUGGGACGGUACUGACGCUGAGACGCGAAAGCGUGGGGAGCGAACAGG